rnacentral:rRNA from 1 species
UACGUAGGGGGCUAGCGUUGUCCGGAAUCAUUGGGCGUAAAGCGCGUGUAGGCGGUCCGGUAAGUCCGCUGUGAAAGUCGAGGGCUCAACCCUCGAAUGCCGGUGGAUACUGUCGGGCUAGAGUACGGAAGAGGCGAGUGGAAUUCCUGGUGUAGCGGUGAAAUGCGCAGAUAUCAGGAGGAACACCGAUGGCGAAGGCAGCUCGCUGGGACGGUACUGACGCUGAGACGCGAAAGCGUGGGGAGCAAACAGG